GCCCGGAUAGCUCAGUCGGUAGAGCAUCAGA
rnacentral:piRNA from 8 species